CACGUAGGGUGCGAGCGUUGUCCGGAAUUAUUGGGCGUAAAGAGCUCGUAGGCGGUGUGUCGCGUCGGCCGUGAAAACCUGCAGCUUAACUGUGGGCGUGCGGUCGAUACGGGCAUCACUGGAGUUCGCAGGGGAGACUGGAAUUCCUGGUGUAGCGGUGAAAUGCGCAGAUAUCAGGAGGAACACCGGUGGCGAAGGCGGCGACCUGGUCCGAUACUGACGCUGAGGCGCGAAGGCUAGGGGAGCGAACGGG
rnacentral:rRNA from 1 species